UGCCCAGCAACUCCUAUCCCUACCUCCACGCGGUACCGGCCGGAAACUAUGAGCAACCUUAGGUAAGAUCGGGUAACCAACCCCGGUGGGAACUUUGGUCGUAGGCUGACAGGGAAGG
rnacentral:ribozyme from 1 species